rnacentral:rRNA from 1 species
AUGUCGGUGCGGAUAAAGGCGGUGGUGGACAGGUUCGUGAAGGAACUCAAGGAGGCGCUGGACGCGGACAUCCAGGACCGCGUCAUGAGGGAGCGCGAGAUGCAGAGCUACAUCGAGGAGCGCGAGCGCGAGGUCGCCGAGCGGGAGGCCGCGUGGAAGGCCGAGCUCUCUCGCCGCGAGGCUGAAAUUGCGCGGCAAGAGGCAAGACUGAAAAUGGAAAGGGAGAAUCUGGAGAAAGAAAAGAGUGUCCUGAUGGGAACUGCUUCGAAUCAGGAUAACCAAGACGGAGCCCUUGAGAUCACAGUCAGCGGUGAGAAGUAUAGGUGCCUGCGCUUCUCCAAGGCGAAGAAGUGA